AUGCAUGUUGGUGUGUUCUGAAUUUUUUUUACCAUGUGAUGUGUUCUGCUUUUGUACGGAAAUUCCAUGUCUCACUCUCCACCAGGUGAUGUGUAAGAUCUUCCUUACAGGAUUAUAGCUUUUUAGUUACAUAAUCAUCUCUAGCAGGUAUAAAGAUAAAUAACUUAAUUUUCUAUAUUGCAGGAAUAAGUAUAUAAUUUUUGGAUGGUAAGGAUGUAAUUUGCAUCUGGUGGGGGUGUAUUACUGAUAUGAGCUAGCCGAAUCAAGUUAACUAAAAAUAAAUAAACUUCCCACCCUCCAGUAUUUGUAUCAAACAAAGAUAGGGUAUUAAUAUGUCUUACUCUAAAUGUAUUCAAACAAAGACAAAAAGGUAUUUUGUUUACUUUCUAUCCUCUCUUCAAGUUCUGUGCAGCCUGUCAGCACAGAGAAAAGUUGUUUAAAAGAAACAGUUGACUGUACCUAUUAGAAUUAUACAAAAUAAAGUUCACUAGAAACCUGAUUUUGAUGUUCAGAAAUUUCAUUCAAUAAGAACUCCCGAUUAAUUGCAUGUGAAAAUUAUUAGUCCUGUACCGACGAAACGAGAUCAAUCUUGUCAGGCCAUAUCACUACACAAUUUCAUAAUUCUGUCAUCCAGAAGCUAUUAUUUUGAGAGUUUGAUUGUCAGUGCUUGCACCUUUGACGCGGCACCUUACUUAUCAGCUAGGACCAAGUUGCCAUCACCGAAGAACACACCUCCUUCCUCGAUCCAUCCGAUAUUGGGCUGAUUGCAUCUUUUCCUAGAAAGAAUGCGAUGUCUUAUUUACUCUGACAGAUUGAUUGUUUCAAUUGGUUUUCAUUACUUGGACUGCUUAAUGUAAAACUUCUUCCUAAAUUGGUCAUAUGUCUCUUAAUUUCUGGUGCAAAUUUGUUCAACCAAGAUGGGAUUUCAAGGUGUAUUUUACUUGAGGCACAUAUUAUGUUCAGCUUUUGACUUUGUUAACUCCAUUUUCACAGAAUGAAAGCAUGAUACAAACAAGGACUUACAUCUUCGAGGAAAUAAACAAUCAUGUGGCUGAACAAAUUGUGAUGGUACACCCUGUUCUUUUACUUCCUAAUUAUGGCUUGAUGGUGCCAAGCCAUAGUAUAAGACGUGAGUCUUGGCUUCUUGGUUCUGGCUCACCAAUGCAUAUCACAUAAUCAUAAGGAAGCAGCCAAGUUUCUCAAUUCGUUUGCAAACCUUUAAGUCCAUUUGAGGUGAGCACAUUUUCUAUUAUAGAUGUCUUGAUAGUUUUCACACGGCCCCAAUAAGUAAUCACUUCGGUGAGAAGAUUCUGAAGAGAGACAUCAUAAACGGGAGCUGUGAAUAAAUGAAGAUGGUGAUUGCUUCCAUAGGCUGCUUAUGCCUGAUAUAUAUAUUCACAUCCAAAUGAUUUUAGGAAGCCAUAGAGUUGUAUGUAUAAUAGGCUUCAUCAGUUUAGCUCUUCUGAUAAUAUGUGAAGAUUGGUUCAAAUAUUCAUUGUGCA